ACGGGAGGCAGCAGUGAGGAAUAUUGGUCAAUGGGCGCGAGCCUGAACCAGCCAAGUAGCGUGAGGGAUGACUGCCCUAUGGGUUGUAAACCUCUUUUGUUUGGGAAUAAAGUCAGGGACGUGUCCCUGUUUGUAUGUACCUUUCGAAUAAGCAUCGGCUAAUUCCGUGCCAGCAGCCGCGGUAAUACGGAAGAUGCGAGCGUUAUCCGGAUUUAUUGGGUUUAAAGGGAGCGUAGGCGGACUGUUAGGUCUGUGGUCAAAUGUCAGGGCCCAACCUUGGCAUGCCAUGGAAACCGGCGGUCUUGAAUACACGCAAGGCAGAUGGAAUUCGUCGUGUAGCGGUGAAAUGCUUAGAUAUGACGAAGAACUCCGAUUGCGUAGGCAGCUGACCAGGCCGUAAAUGACGCUCAUGCACGAAAGUGCGGGGAUCGAACAGGAUUAGAUACCCUGGUA
rnacentral:rRNA from 1 species